UUAUAGCUUUCACUGUAAACACAACAAACCUCCUGUAACUAGGAAUUUUUUAUAACUUCAGAAGCUGACUUACUUAAUAACUUAUAAAUGAAUAUCUCUGUGUUUUCGAGUGACAACUCAAAGCAGUUUGGAGGCCAACCUUGAGCUUUCCAGAUCUUCUAUGUUAUGAGUGUUUUUUAAAUGAUAGUCACUGUUCUUUUAGGCUUACACAACAUCAAAAAGAUAAAUGUGGAUCUUCUAGCUUAUGUGAAAUUCAACAAGCAGCUUUUAAAUGUCCAUAUGCUCCAUAAAUAGCAACAUCUCGAUAAAUGUAAAUCUCUGUCCAACAGAUCCCUCAGGGGAGACGAGUGGUUCUGGAUGUCUGGACAGUCCAUGAAUUUCUUGAAUUGGCCACAAGAUUUUGUUCCUGACAGCUACUCCAGCACAUGUGGGGGCAUGACCAGCAGAGAGCACCUCCUGUGGCAGGACCAGCCCUGUGAGGAGAACCUCAACUUCAUCUGCCAAUCAGGUGGAGACUGCCAACUGGCUGGUUUAAAGAAGUUCCCGUGUGAAUUGGAUCUUAACCUGCAGCUGGCAGCCACCUCGGCCCUCUGCUUGCCUCCUCUGCACCUAACAACAAGCUGAGUUCUACUUAAUGAAAUCUUUGUAAAUAGUGAAUUAAAAGGCUAUCUUGUGCUAAAUGCUUAUCCACUGUACAGACUGAGCUCCCUAAAACGACUGACGUAGGCGUGAGAACAGUUUUCUGUUGAAAUCCUUUCCCUCUUGUUUAUCUAGUUUAGAGAACUGGUAUUGGUUUGCCUUUUUUUUAAAUUAGGGAAAUUAGACGCUUCAGUUUGUUGUUUUGGCUUUGCUCACAUGCAAGACAAACAAACACCUCCUUAGACUCUUGAAUUGCACUGCAUUGGUUCUUUUUUCUUCACUGUGGUACGAGUGACGUUUGAGACUUUCAAGCCACACAUCAACAAAUGCAUGCUGCAUUCAUAUCCUGGAGGAAAACUGGGGUUUUUUGGUGUACUGCUAUGUCCAUCAUAAAUAAAUAAAUUUUUUGUCCUCUUAGCUAAAAAAAAUAACUAUAAACUAUAGAAAAUAACUCCUUGGAACCAAAGUCCAACAGGUUAAACUUCAUAGGCUAUGUUAAGCAUUGUGUUUGCUCUGUCCGACAGAUCCCUGAGAGGAAACAACUGGUUCUGAUGAAUUAUUGUGAAUUAUUGUGUGUAUUCUGUAUACUGAAAUGCAUGUUUUAUUAGAUAGAACGAGAUUUUAAUUUGAUGUCUUUCAUUGUUGUAAUGGUGUGCAUAAUUCCUUGUAAGGCUGUAAGAUGUUUCUGCACCAAAUGGAAUCUGGCUGUGAUUCCUGAACAGUUAAAUCAUUAUAACUGAAAGUCUGAUUUAAAUGUUUUAGUAGUGAUGCACAGAGGCAGAAUAAAACAAAAUGUCACUGUCUAAAGACUUACGCUGUGUUGUUGUUUUAUAUCCAAUGACCCAGUUCUAAAAGGCCGUGCUUUGAAACAGUUGCACAUAGAAAGCAUCGUGAGUGCAGAACAUGAGGGCACAUUCUCUCAAUUGUAUCUUGCAUUACUUUAGGUGUGGCGCAGUCCUGUAACUUAAAAGGAACAGGUUUAAGUAACGUGUGUUGACAAGUGUCUAAUAUAAACUGAGUGACGACGAACACACCCAAAGUUUGAAAAUGGCCUGACCUGGUCCUGCCUGUUCUCCUUGCCUGGUGUCUCUGCCAUGUGUAGGCUCAGGCACUCCUUUGAAAUGACACUCCUCUAAUUUACAGUGCAUUGUAUUAUUGCUGCUAUUAUUAUCAUUAUUAUUAUUAUUAUUAUUGGUAGUAGUAAUACUAGUAUUAGUAUUAGUAUUAUUUAAUCUAUAGAUCUUUAAAGUCUUUUGUCCUGCACAUCUAACACAAUCACGUGUGUUAUUAAAAAGACUAAAGAUAUCUCCUCAGUGUUUUUAUUUUAGUUAUUUUUCUAGUCCAGUUAGUUUUUCUUUUCUUUUUUUAAUGUCAAGCUUUAUUUAUAUUUAUUUUCAUAAACUAACAUGUUUUUUUCACAUCAGAUUUUAAAUUUCAGUUUAGUUUUUGUUACCUACAAUACACCAUAUUGCCAAACGUAUUCACUCACCCAUCUAAAUGAUUGAAUUCAUGUGUUCCAAUCACAGGUGUACAAAAUGAAGCAGCUAGGCCUGCAGACUGCUUCUACAAACGUUUGUGAAAGACUGCGCUCG
rnacentral:lncRNA from 1 species